GCCCGGUUAGCUCAAUCGGUAGAGCGUGAGACUCUUAAUCUCAAGGUUGCGGGUAAGUUCGCUAUGAAAUUCAGCCGCUUAUCCGUUAGCCGGAUACUAACGGUCGCAGGUUCGACCCCCGCAUCGGGCU